rnacentral:rRNA from 1 species
CCUACGGGAGGCAGCAGUGGGGAAUAUUGGACAAUGGGCGCAAGCCUGAUCCAGCAAUGCCGCGUGAGUGAUGAAGGCCUUAGGGUUGUAAAGCUCUUUUACCAGGGAUGAUAAUGACAGUACCUGGAGAAUAAGCUCCGGCUAACUCCGUGCCAGCAGCCGCGGUAAUACGGAGGGAGCUAGCGUUGUUCGGAAUUACUGGGCGUAAAGCGUACGUAGGCGGUUAUUCAAGUCAGAGGUGAAAGCCCGGGGCUCAACCCCGGAACUGCCUUUGAAACUAGGUAGCUAGAAUCUUGGAGAGGUCAGUGGAAUUCCGAGUGUAGAGGUGAAAUUCGUAGAUAUUCGGAAGAACACCAGUGGCGAAGGCGACUGACUGGACAAGUAUUGACGCUGAGGUACGAAAGCGUGGGGAGCAAACAGGAUUAGAUACCCUGGUAGUCCACGCCGUAAACGAUGAUAACUAGCUGUCCGGUCACUUGGUGACUGGGUGGCGCAGCUACGCAUUAAGUUAUCCGUCCGUCGGGUAGGUACGGUCGCGAAGAAGUUAAACGUACGAAAGGAAAGUUAGUAACGGUCGUGAGACGUGCCGAACGGACGACGACGAGGGAGGAGG